rnacentral:tRNA from 3 species
GGAGGAAUACUCAAGUGGUUGAAGAGGUCGGUUUCGAAAACCGAUAGGAGUUGCAAGGCUCGCGCGGGUUCAAAUCCUGCUUCCUCCGCCA